UGGACUUUGCCUUAUUUUUGUUUUUACUACGUGUUACUGAUUGGCACCUUGCUGCUGACUUCAAAGUUAUGGAAGAACAAAACACAAGUCAGGAAAUGGACAGUCUUGCAACUCAAGUUGUCCCAUCCACAUCUAAUAAAGGUGAGA